CAAAAGUACAGUAACGAAGUAUUGAAAAGAAAAUUUUGGAGACAUUGGAGCAUAUUAUAUAUAGCUUGUGGAAAGACAUAAGGCUACAGAUGGAAUGGAACAUUCCUGUUUUCUUGAAGAAAUUCACAUACACAUAGCUGACCUGACUAGUACUUCAGCUCUUCCACAGCCUUCUAUAAAGGUUCUUUCUUCUGCAAAGAAAACAAAACAAAACAAAACAAAACAAAAAAAACAAAAAAAGCGCAAAAAACAAAAAAACAAAAAAAAGCAAAGUAAAAUUUAAAAAUACAGAAAACAAACAACAAAAAAGAAUUCAACCAUAAAUAGUGACUAUUAUUUUCAGUGUGUCCUUCAUGUGAAAGCUAUUAAGGACCAAAUAUACUACUGUUCAUAAGAAGAAAUUACUUUCUAAACAGUAACUGAAAAUACUUAGAGUUAAACUUGCUGUGGAUUUUGUCUUGGCAGUUGUCAUCUUACAUUAUUUGUCAAAGGAAAUGUGUUUGGCAGUUAAAAAUCUUUCCUUAGAUUUAGUGGUGGACUUUAACCUCUUAAAUAAAUGUUAGUAUAUCAGAUUGUGUCCUUGAAAAAUAUUUUACUUGUAUGAAUCAUGACAACGUCUAAAUCUUUACUAUUCUUCUGGCAAAAGCAUCAGUAAGAAAGAAGGCGAAAAAGAGAAGUAUAGCCUUUAUGUCAGAAAAACAUUCUUUUUAGCUGCUUACUUUCUCAUGAAAAGUAAAGAUGUUUACAGUGUAUGCCAAGUUUUCAGUUUCUGUAUAACAACAGGUAGAGGUUCUAAUCAUAUUGAAAAUUGUGUUAUAAUGGUCUGAGCCAUGUUGCUAGGAAACAAUAGGUUCCAAUUUUGUAUUCCUGCUCUCCUGUGCUGAAAAGUGACUGGAUACUGUACAGGUUCAUGUUCUCUGGCUGCAGUUAAAUGGUCUUUUGCAUUUUGCUCUGGCUUUCAGGCCAGAAGCAUGCAUUUUUCUACAAGAGCAUCACAACAACAUGCUGUAAAUAUUUAAAGUUAAACAUUAUGUGUUGAUAUUUGAAAGAAAAGUACUUUGAAUAUUUCAUUUUUAAAAAAUAAAAUUGCCAAUGAAAAA
rnacentral:lncRNA from 1 species